GGAGUAUUCGUCUAGUGGUUAGGACACCAGGUUCUCAUCCUGGAAACAGGGGUUCGACUCCCCUAUACUCUACCA
rnacentral:tRNA from 3 species